rnacentral:rRNA from 1 species
AGAGUUUGAUCAUGGCUCAGAUUGAACGCUGGCGGCAGGCCUAACACAUGCAAGUCGAGCGGUAGAGAGAAGCUUGCUUCUCUUGAGAGCGGCGGACGGGUGAGUAAUGCCUAGGAAUCUGCCUGGUAGUGGGGGAUAACGUUCGGAAACGGACGCUAAUACCGCAUACGUCCUACGGGAGAAAGCAGGGGACCUUCGGGCCUUGCGCUAUCAGAUGAGCCUAGGUCGGAUUAGCUAGUUGGUGAGGUGAUGGCUCACCAAGGCGACGAUCCGUAACUGGUCUGAGAGGAUGAUCAGUCACACUGGAACUGAGACACGGUCCAGACUCCUACGGGAGGCAGCAGUGGGGAAUAUUGGACAAUGGGCGAAAGCCUGAUCCAGCCAUGCCGCGUGUGUGAAGAAGGUCUUCGGAUUGUAAAGCACUUUAAGUUGGGAGGAAGGGUUGUAGAUUAAUACUCUGCAAUUUUGACGUUACCGACAGAAUAAGCACCGGCUAACUCUGUGCCAGCAGCCGCGGUAAUACAGAGGGUGCAAGCGUUAAUCGGAAUUACUGGGCGUAAAGCGCGCGUAGGUGGUUUGUUAAGUUGGAUGUGAAAUCCCCGGGCUCAACCUGGGAACUGCAUUCAAAACUGACUGACUAGAGUAUGGUAGAGGGUGGUGGAAUUUCCUGUGUAGCGGUGAAAUGCGUAGAUAUAGGAAGGAACACCAGUGGCGAAGGCGACCACCUGGACUAAUACUGACACUGAGGUGCGAAAGCGUGGGGAGCAAACAGGAUUAGAUACCCUGGUAGUCC